UACGUAGGGUGCAAGCGUUAAUCGGAAUGACUGGGCGUAAAGGGUGCGCAGGCGGCCUGUUAAGGCAGAGGUGAAAUCCCCGGGCUUAACCUGGGAAUGGCCUAUGUGACUGUCAGGCUAGAGGAUGGCAGAGGGAGGCGGAAUUCCACGUGUAGCAGUGAAAUGCGUAGAGAUGUGGAGGAACACCGAUGGCGAAGGCAGCCUCCUGGGCCAAUUCUGACGCUCAGGCACGAAAGCGUGGGGAUCAAACAGG
rnacentral:rRNA from 1 species